rfam:Agrilus planipennis Contig69366, whole genome shotgun sequence.
AGUUAAUCGAUAUGUUUAGAUCCUUAGCAACUUCUCUAAUGGUGAUUCGAGGCGUCUGGCACGCCGGCUGAAGAGGACCCUAGUUGGUCCUAGAACGGCCUGAGGUAGAGGGGUUUUAGUCGGUAGGUCCGAGGACUUCUUCCUCGGGAAUCCGACACUACCGGGUCGUACGGACGGCUGGGUGUCUUAUGAAGAUUUUCCCUCUUCCACGAAA